UACAGAGGGCGCGAGCGUUGUCCGGAAUCACUGGGCGUAAAGCGCACGUAGGCGGACUCUUAAGUCAGGGGUGAAAUCCUGGAGCUCAACUCCAGAACUGCCUUUGAUACUGGGAGUCUUGAGUUCGGGAGAGGUGAGUGGAACUGCGAGUGUAGAGGUGAAAUUCGUAGAUAUUCGCAAGAACACCAGUGGCGAAGGCGGCUCACUGGCCCGAUACUGACGCUGAGGUGCGAAAGCGUGGGGAGCAAACAGG
rnacentral:rRNA from 1 species